AUUGAACGCUGGCGGCGUGCCUAAUACAUGCAAGUCGAGCGAACAGAUGAGAAGCUUGCUUCUCUGAUGUUAGCGGCGGACGGGUGAGUAACACGUGGGUAACCUACCUAUAAGACUGGGAUAACUCCGGGAAACCGGGGCUAAUACCGGAUAAUAUUUUGAACCGCAUGGUUUAAUAGUGAAAGACGGUUUCGGCUGUCACUUAUAGAUGGACCCGCGCCGUAUUAGCUAGUUGGUAAGGUCACGGCUUACCAAGGCGACGAUACGUAGCCGAGCUGAGAGGGUGAUCGGCCACACUGGACCUGGGACACGGUCCAGACUCCUACGGGAGGCAGCAGUAGGGAAUCUUCCGCAAUGGGCGAAAGCCUGACGGAGCAACGCCGCGUGAGUGAUGAAGGUCUUCGGAUCGUAAAACUCUGUUGUUAGGGAAGAACAAAUUUGUUAGUAACUGAACAAGUCUUGACGGUACCUAACCAGAAAGCCACGGCUAACUACGUGCCAGCCGCCGCAGUAA
rnacentral:rRNA from 1 species